AGUGAACGCUGGCGGUAGGCCUAACACAUGCAAGUCGAACGGCAGCACAGUAAGAGCUUGCUCUUACGGGUGGCGAGUGGCGGACGGGUGAGGAAUACAUCGGAAUCUACUUUUUCGUGGGGGAUAACGUAGGGAAACUUACGCUAAUACCGCAUACGACCUACGGGUGAAAGCAGGGGAUCUUCGGACCUUGCGCGAUUGAAUGAGCCGAUGUCGGAUUAGCUAGUUGGCGGGGUAAAGGCCCACCAAGGCGACGAUCCGUAGCUGGUCUGAGAGGAUGAUCAGCCACACUGGAACUGGGACACGGUCCAGACCCCUACGGGAGGCAGCAGUGGGGAAUAUUGGACAAUGGGCGCAAGCCUGAUCCAGCCAUACCGCGUGGGUGAAGAAGGCCUUCGGGUUGUAAAGCCCUUUUGUUGGGAAAGAAAAGCAGCAGGUUAAUACCCCGCUGUUCUGACGGUACCCAAAGAAUAAGCACCGGCUAACUUCGUG
rnacentral:rRNA from 1 species